rnacentral:rRNA from 1 species
GUGUCAGCAGCCGCGGUAAGACGAACCGUGCAAACGUUAUUCGGAUUCAUUGGGCUUAAAGGGCGCGUAGGCGGCUUGACAAGUCUGAGGUGAAAACCCAUCGGCUCAACCGUGGAAGUGCCUCAGAAACUGUCGGGCUUGAGGGGGAUAGGGGCGCGUGGAACUCCCGGUGGAGCGGUGAAAUGUGUUGAGAUCGGGGGGAACGCCGGCGGCGAAAGCGGCGCGCUGGAUCUUUUCUGACGCUGAGGCGCGAAAGCCAGGGGAGCGAACGGGAUUAGAAACCCGAGUAGUCC